CAGAAAUUUUAAUUGUACUGGAAAAGAUCGUCCUCGAGUCUGCUUUUUACGAUUCUCUAAAUAUCCUACCCAUUGCCAAUCGCAAGAACUGUACAAGACAAACGCAAUAGAAUUUCGGAUUAAAACACGAUCAUGUUCUUCACUUUCGUCAAAUUUUAUAAAUCUUCAAUGAAUCUAGUGCCCUACGAUGACCUAUGACCUAAAGUUUGAACUGUAUAGAAACAAGGAUGUUUAAUUAAUGUGCCUAGUUCCUGUUCGAAUCGAUAUACCGAUCGAAAUGGGCUCAAAUAUGAAAUCUGUCACUCCUAGCAAGUAAACUGACAACUCUAUUGGAAUAGUCCCUGUUGCCAGACAUACAUGAACUGAUAACAAUGAAAAUGUAUUGAAAUUAUGCUGGAGAACUCCGCUUGCUGGAUUUGAUGAAUCUUUACACAACCUUAAAGAGAAACAGAGACAAGUCUGAUGGCUGCCUAUAUAUACCCAUACCUAGUGUUUGGUGAUGUUUAAGCCGAGCGGAGCAAAUUUCCGUUUGCUGUUUUCAUGGACUUUUCCGAGUCUCUCGAUAAUCUCCAACAACAGAAUGGUUUCCUGAUACCUGGCCGUUAGUUCACCCAGCAGUCAGUUAAACUUAAGCCAAACGAAGGAAAUAUCUAUGGUUAUUUUCAUGAUUCCUGUUUCUCCAUGUCUUACCACAAUUUUCAAUGUUCCGGAGAACUAACAGUGCCCCGCAGAGUCAUUACGUCUAGCCUCAAAAUACACACUAUGGAAUGCUUCUAUUUCUGAAAGAUUACGAAGGACCACACUACUCCAGACUCCUGUUCAAUAAUUUUAUUUCACAACUUUUGCUGUAACAAUGGCUGCUGUCUACUGCCACUUCAAAGUUCCUGUUCCACGGCUCUAUUUCUAGAAACCUGCACCCACAACAGCAGUGGUCUACAUUGAAUACUACUUAUAGGGAAAAUGACACUCAAGAUCUUCUUUUAUGUUAGGUACUUAGUAUGCUAACUUAACCAAUCAUGUACUAUUAUUCGACCGUAGUCAGAAUAUGAUGGAAAAGUACCGUCAACAGAUCAGUACUGUAAUCCUAAGUCAACCUAUGUCUAAUAUACUUUUAUACUACAAAUAAGUAUGUUUUUGUAUGUGCGCCGUUAGUCAGGGCAACAACGCAUUACAUAUCUCGGUCGAUUUUCAUGAAAAACAAAGCACUCGUACAGGCCCUAGUAAAUAAUAGCAAUGACUGUAGAUAGUAACUAUGCACAUAUUUCACUGCUAUUCUUAAUAAAUAUAGUGAGGGUUCUGAAGAAGGCCUAUGUAGCUAAAUUCUCAUACAUAUGUGUAUGUACUACUAAUCUUCUAAUAAUUAUUAUAUGACGUA